GCGCAGUUGGUGUAGUGGUAACACACAACUCGAAUAUCUUCCAGUGGUCUUCAGCAUUUGAGGUUGGGUGCCGGGUUCGAAUCCCGGACGGCGCA